GAAAACCAGUCGUCCCCUUAGUCAGUUUAGUAGAUUGUGUUUUUUUUUGUAAACUUUUUAGACCAAAUGCAAAGAAAAUUUAUUAAUUGGUUCGUACGUCUUUCUUUUUUUGACAAAAACUUACUUAUACUUCUUUCUUACAUUUUAAAAUACUUAUAAGUUAUAACAUUGAUUUUAAAUUAAGGUUUCGAUUGGCAAUGUUGUACAGCCAAUUAUGUUAAUGCCACCGAUUUUUAAAAAUAAUAUAAAACAUUUUUUUUUCUUUUAUAUCUCCCCGCUGCUGUUUAUACGGACAACAUCGCUGCUUUUUUUUUUUAUAUAUUUAGAAUUGUGAGCACAUCCUUUAUAUAUUAAAAGAUAAACAUGGUAAUAAAUGCGUUCAUAUUAUAAUGAACAUAAGACAGUUUCAUAGCAAUUUAAGAAUUAGUAUGUUGACGUAUCACAGUGUAGAAAGCUUCUUAGCUAAACUCUAUAUAAAUGUGUCAACACUAUAUACAUUACGUUUUUUUCAAUAUAAAACUCACAUGUAGGAUUCAAAUAAAAUUCACGUUAUCCGAAAUUUUCGGUUCGAAUCAAAAUGGAUAACGAAUCAAAAACCAAUUAUAUAUAUAAAAUAUUAUUUUUAUUGUUUACAGAUUGAGCUGGACAAAGUAUUCAUAAAUUUUGAUUCAAUUCGUUAUAUGUUUUGACUCGAACCGAAAAAUCUGGAUAUUCGUAACUCUACUAAGAAAAAAAAAAAUGCAAUAUUUGCAAAAAAAAGUAAAUCACAAAUACUAAUAUUAUUAGGAACGAAUAUCCAAUUC
rnacentral:lncRNA from 1 species